rnacentral:rRNA from 1 species
GCAAGUCGAGCGGACCGGCGGGAGCUUGCUCCCUUAGGUCAGCGGCGGACGGGUGAGUAACACGUGGGUAACCUGCCUGUAAGACUGGGAUAACUCCGGGAAACCGGGGCUAAUACCGGAUGCUUGAUUGAACCGCAUGGUUCAAUCAUAAAAGGCGGCUUCGGCUGCCGUUUACAGAUGGACCCGCGGCGCAUUAGCUAGUUGGUGAGGUAACGGCUCACCAAGGCGACGAUGCGUAGCCGACCUGAGAGGGUGAUCGGCCACACUGGGACUGAGACACGGCCCAGACUCCUACGGGAGGCAGCAGUAGGGAAUCUUCCGCAAUGGACGAAAGUCUGACGGAGCAACGCCGCGUGAGUGAUGAAGGUUUUCGGAUCGUAAAGCUCUGUUGUUAGGGAAGAACAAGUACCGUUCGAAUAGGGCGGUACCUUGACGGUACCUAACCAGAAAGCCACGGCUAACUACGUGCCAGCAGCCGCGGUAAUACGUAGGUGGCAAGCGUUGUCCGGAAUUAUUGGGCGUAAAGCGCGCGCAGGCGGUUUCUUAAGUCUGAUGUGAAAGCCCCCGGCUCAACCGGGGAGGGUCAUUGGAAACUGGGGAACUUGAGUGCAGAAGAGGAGAGUGGAAUUCCACGUGUAGCGGUGAAAUGCGUAGAGAUGUGGAGGAACACCAGUGGCGAAGGCGACUCUCUGGUCUGUAACUGACGCUGAGGCGCGAAAGCGUGGGGAGCGAACAGGAUUAGAUACCCUGGUAGUCCACGCCGUAAACGAUGAGUGCUAAGUGUUAGAGGGUUUCCGCCCUUUAGUGCUGCAGCAAACGCAUUAAGCACUCCGCCUGGGGAGUACGGUCGCAAGACUGAAACUCAAAGGAAUUGACGGGGGCCCGCACAAGCGGUGGAGCAUGUGGUUUAAUUCGAAGCAACGCGAAGAACCUUACCAGGUCUUGACAUCCUCUGACAUCCCUAGAGAUAGGGCUUCCCCUUCGGGGGCAGAGUGACAGGUGGUGCAUGAUUGUCGUCAGCUCGUGUCGUGAGAUGUUGGGUUAAGUCCCGCAACGAGCGCAACCUUUGAUCUAGUGGCAGCAUUCAGUGGGCACUCUAA